rnacentral:rRNA from 1 species
CUACGGGGGGCUGCAGUGGGGAAUAUUGCACAAUGGGCGCAAGCCUGAUGCAGCCAUGCCGCGUGUAUGAAGAAGGCCUUCGGGUUGUAAAGUACUUUCAGCGGGGAGGAAGGGAGUAAAGUUAAUACCUUUGCUCAUUGACGUUACCCGCAGAAGAAGCACCGGCUAACUCCGUGCCAGCAGCCGCGGUAAUACGGAGGGUGCGAGGUUAAUCGGAAUUACUGGGCGUAAAGCGCAAGCAGGCGGUUUGUUAAGUCAGAUGUGAAUCCCCGGGCUCAACCUGGGAACUGCAUCUGAACUGGCAAGCUUGAGUCUCGUAGAGGGGGGUAGAAUUCCAGGUGUAGCGGUGAAAUGCGUAGAGAUCUGGAGGAAUACCGGUGGCGAAGGCGGCCCCCUGGACGAAGACUGACGCUCAGGUGCGAAAGCGUGGGGAGCAAACAGGAUUAGAUACCCCAGUAGUC